AGCUGCGCGCUGAGCUCGCGGCAGUACGGGGAGCGCCCGCCCGCCCCGCCCUGGACCCAACCAAGCGUCCCGCGGAGGGGUGCGGCCACUUGGGGGCAGGAGAAAGCGGAGUACGCCACCCCUCUAGGGACCCAGGAAGCGAGGCGAGCCUCAGGUGGACGCGGUGGUGUGGACCACGGCGAUCAGGGCCUUUCCCCCUGCUGUGGAGACGGAGGUGCGAGGGGACGCCGGCGGCUCCCCACCUUCUGGCCGAGUGGCCUUCUCCGCCUCCGGCUGGACUCCCUCGGGGCGCUCCCUCCAGAGCCGAGUCGGGCUGGCCGGGGGCGGCUGUUUGGCCUGAGUGUCGUCUUACUAAAGCGGAACGCCGGAGGGGAGGCCACUCCGAGAGAAGGCGGUCCCCGGCGGAGGUGGCUUCGUGAAUCCUGCAGCCCCCUGCCCGCCCGCCACUCGAGACGCCGCGCCUCGUGGGUUUCACGCUGGAUGGAGGGGGCGCCGCCGAGGAUGCCCAGCCUCCCCCUCUAAUUCUACCUCUCCAGUUCCUCAGGGGGAUCCAGAGAAGAUGAGUUAAAUUGGAAUGGACUUGAAAAAACUGAUUUAGUUGGAUUUAUGGAUCACAGUCAUGAAAAGGUAAAGAUACCAACUUGUUUUGUGAAUUUAAUCUUUAUUCCUUACUUUUUUGCCCCUACUGUUUGUAAUUCCUACUUUAUAAUGAAAUCCUUCUUGUGACUUAUAGAAAUUAACUGGGGAAAAUGUUUUUCUGUUCUCCAUUUCCUUUAAGUUUGUUUUUAGAUACACUGCAUUGCAAGUAUGUGUGGUACAGUAAAAUGUUGCUAAUUGUAUCUGCGCUGAUAAGAUGCCAUUUGCUCUAGGUCAGUUUCCUACCCCCUCCCCCAACUAUUCCUAGCCAGUGGUAGCAUGCUUCUUACUUCCAAAUAUAUGUGUGUGUGUGUGUGUGUGUGUGUGUGUGUGUGUGCCUGUGUGUAUCAACAAUGUGAUCCUAAAAUAAAAGAAUGACAUAUAUUUGACAUUAUUUACAUACUAAAUAUGGGAGCACAUAAAUCAAUUACAGAAUAAAAUCAAUUUUUCAAGGAUUUUGAUGUAAUGGUUUUUAUUCAAAAUGUUUCUUCCUUUCCUUAGGUAGAAUUUUCUGCCAAUUAUUUUAAAGAAAAAUGAAGAUUUAUUUUUUAAAUGUGAAAUGCAGUUUUUUUCUCUUUUUUGAGACAGGGUCACGCUCCGUCACCCAGGCUGGAGUGCAGUGGCAGGAUUACAACUCACUGCAGCCUUGACCUCCCAGGCUCAAGCAAUCCUCCCACUUCAGCCUCCCACGUAGUUGGAACUAUAGGUGUACACCACCAUGCCCAGCUAAUUAUUAUUAUUUGUAGAGACAGGGUCUCCCUGUGUUGCCCAGACUGGUCUCAAACUCCUGGGCUUAAGCCAUCCUCCCACCUCAACCUCCCAAAGUGCUGGGAUUACAGGCAUGAGCCACUGUGCCCAGCCUACAAUUACUAUUUACUUAAAAUGUUUAUUAAUGUGAGAAAAUGUUUCAGAAUGAAUCUGGUCUUUUUUCUCUACAGUGGCCUCACCCUUACUUUUCUUUCUUAGCCCUCUUGGGAAAGGGGCUCCCUGCUUCUCCCCUCACGUCACCCCUCUCACAGUGCUUAAUGGGGACCUAUAAACAACAACUCCGUGGCCCCGGGGAAACAAGCACCUUACCUUGUAACAACGAAGACCUUU
rnacentral:lncRNA from 1 species